rnacentral:rRNA from 1 species
GACGAACGCUGGCGGCGUGCUUAACACAUGCAAGUCGAACGGUAAGGCCCUUCGGGGUACACGAGUGGCGAACGGGUGAGUAACACGUGGGUGAUCUGCCCUGCACUUCGGGAUAAGCCUGGGAAACUGGGUCUAAUACCGGAUAGGACCACUGCCUGCAUGGGUGGCGGUGGAAAGCUUUUGCGGUGUGGGAUGGGCCCGCGGCCUAUCAGCUUGGUGGUGGGGUGAUGGCCUACCAAGGCGCCGACGGGUAGCCGGCCUGGGGGGGUGACCGGCCAGACUGGGACUGAGUUACGGCCCAGAGUCCUACGGGAGGCAGCAGUGGGAAAUAUUGCACAAUGGGCGCAAGCCUGAUGCAGCGACGCCGCGUGAGGGAUGACGGCCUUCGGGUUAUAAACCUCUUUCAGCACCGACGAAGCGCAAGUGACGGUAGGUGCAGAAGAAGGACCGGCCAACUACGUACCAGCCGCCGCUGUAA